rnacentral:rRNA from 1 species
GACGUAGGGUGCAAGCGUUGUCCGGAAUUAUUGGGCGUAAAGAGCUCGUAGGCGGUCUGUCGCGUCUGCUGUGAAAACCUGGGGCUUAACCCCGGGCCUGCAGUGGGUACGGGCAGACUAGAGUGUGGUAGGGGAGACUGGAAUUCCUGGUGUAGCGGUGAAAUGCGCAGAUAUCAGGAGGAACACCGGUGGCGAAGGCGGGUCUCUGGGCCAUAACUGACGCUGAGGAGCGAAAGCGUGGGGAGCGAACAGG